rnacentral:rRNA from 1 species
GAUGAACGCUGACAGAAUGCUUAACACAUGCAAGUCCACUUGAACUUCGGUUUGGGUGGCGGACGGGUGAGUAACGCGUAAAGAACUUGCCUCACAGAUGGGGACAACAUUUGGAAACGAAUGCUAAUACCUGAUAUUAUGAUUUUAGGGCAUCCUAGGAUUAUGAAAGCUAUAUGCGCUGUGAGAGAGCUUUGCGUCCCAUUAGCUAGUUGGAGAGGUAACGGCUCACCAAGGCGAUGAUGGGUAGCCGGCCUGAGAGGGUGAUCGGCCACAAGGGGACUGAGACACGGCCCUUACUCCUACGGGAGGCAGCAGUGGGGAAUAUUGGACAAUGGACCAAGAGUCUGAUCCAGCAAUUCUGUGUGCACGAUGAAGUUUUUCGGAAUGUAAAGUGCUUUCAGUUGGGAAGAAAAAAAUGACGGUACCAACAGAAGAAGUGACGGCUAAAUACGUG